rnacentral:rRNA from 1 species
UACGUAGGGGGCGAGCGUUGUCCGGAUUUAUUGGGCGUAAAGAGCGUGUAGGCGGCUUGGUAGGUCUGCUGUGAAAACUCGGGGCUCAACCCCGAGACGUCGGUGGAAACCACCUGGCUAGAGUCCGGAAGAGGAGAGUGGAAUUCCUGGUGUAGCGGUGAAAUGCGCAGAUAUCAGGAAGAAUAUCCGUGGCGAAGGCGGCUCUCUGGGACGGUACUGACGCUGAGACGCGAAAGCGUGGGGAGCGAACAGG